UACGUAGGGGGCUAGCGUUGUUCGGAUUUACUGGGCGUAAAGAGCGCGUAGGUGGUUAUACAAGUUAGGGGUGAAAUCCCGGAGCUUAACUUCGGAACUGCUUCUAAAACUGUAUAGCUUGAGUGUGGUAGGGGGUAAUAGAAUUCCUAGUGUAGAGGUGAAAUUCUUAGAUAUUAGGAGGAAUACCGAUGGCGAAGGCGAUUACCUGGGCCACUACUGACACUGAGGCGCGAAAGCGUGGGGAGCAAACAGG
rnacentral:rRNA from 1 species